GACGAACGCUGGCGGCGUGCUUAAUACAUGCAAGUCGAACGGACAGGCCCUGCUCUUGUGGGGUGCUCGAUUGGCGAACGGGUGAGUAUCACGUGAGUAAAAUGUCCUUGACUUUGGGAUAACUUCAGGAAAAUGGGGCUAAUACCGGAUAGGAGCUCCUGCUGCAUGGUGGGGGUUGGAAAGAUUCGGCGGUUGUGGAUGGACUAGCGGCUUAUCCGCUUGUUAGUGGGGUAGUGGCUUACCAAGUCUUUGACGGGUAGCCGGCCUGGGAGGGUGACCGGCCACAAGGGGACUGAGAUACGGCCCAGACGCGUACGGUAGGCAGCAGUGGGGAGUAUUGCGCAAUGGGCGGAAGCCUGUGGCGGCGACGCCGCGUUCGGAAUGACGGCCUUCGGGUGGUAAACCGCUGUCUCCGGUGACGAAGCGUGAGUGACGGUAAUGGGUAAGGAAGCACCGGCUAACUACGUG
rnacentral:rRNA from 1 species